CCUAAUCCGCGAAACAUUAUAAAUACAACAGACAUCAACAAGAACAACAACGUUGUUUCAAUCUCUCAAUCUUGUUUCUCAAUCUCUGUCAUUCUCAAUCAAUCGUUUUGUGUUCUCUUUCAAUGGAUUCACCACAUUCACCAGGUUUUCAGAUUUCAUUUUCCUCACCCCCUUCGGCUCCAAAACCUAAUAAGAAACGAAAGAUACAGUUUUUAGAUGAAAUUCCUCAAAUGAUCACAUUAUCACCUCAUCAUACUCCCUCACCACUCAGAAGACGCUUACAAUUCCUGGAUGAAAUUAUUGAGCUUGGUGAGAUGCGGUUACAACUGUUUCGUCUCCUCGACAAGACCCAAGAAGCCAUCGAGGCUGAAAGAAAGAGGAAAAUCGCAAUCUUGAUGUCAUUUAGAUAGUAACAACUUAUUAUUCCAUUCAGUUGAUUAUGAAUUUCUGUAUUCUUGAUCGUCUGUUAGGUAUGUUCUUUUAUUUUGAAACCAUCUGUUACUAUAUAUACUUGUGUUACGAUGAGUAGGAUCAAACUCCGUCUUCAGGUAAUGUAUCUCUCUUUUCACUUUUUAUUUAUUUGGUUCUUACAAUAUAUGCAACGUGAUUGUUUUGUUACAAAUAUUGUGGCAGAAUGCUACUUUCUGAAUACAGUGAGUGGUUGAGUUCUGCGGUUUGUUUUGAGCUGUUUCUAGCACUUUCUUUUUAUAUACUGGUGUGGGUGGUAUUGUGUUUUCAUUUUGAAAUGUAAUUGUGCCUAGUUCUACAAGAAGGUUUAAUGAUUUUCUCACCUUACGGUGACACUGCACCGCUAUACUAAUCCUGCUUUAAGGUAUAAGGGUGCUUGACCAAUUGCACAUUAAUUCAUUGCUAUCUCUAUUUGUUAUAGAUUGAUUACUGUUAAAUAAUAUGCUCUUGGAUGGUUCCUGUUUAGGCAAAUCUUGUCUUUAACGUUAACAUUUUCAUAGGCUUCCAUGUAUUUCUAAUAGAUAGCUGAUUGAUCAUGUUCUAUCUUGUCCUUGAUUAAUUCUCUGUAUUGACUCCAGUGUUCUAAUAUUCUCAUAUCCAACAUUAUUUGCUUACCUCGAUGAUAGGACCUUUGCUUGAAACCUACUUUUUCUAAGACCAAUCUCAUUUUUAUGUUUGCUUAACUUAGUCUAUAGUUUGCUCGUAGAUUUUGAUAUCAUUAAACCUGUAAUGUAACACUUGACUUGUUUUAGUAUUAGGUAGUGCAAGAAGUAUCUUGAGUGAUCGUGACAUGAUUGACUUCGUUUUUUGUUUCACCGUUUCUUUUGGUCUUAUUAGAUAGGGAGAGCCAGCAGUUGAGGUUACAAAUGAAGGCGUUGACGCUGCAAGGCAUUCAAUUGGUACAUCUUCGGUCUUGAGGUUUUUAGAGGUAAUGUUCUUCUGUUCGCCUCUUUUGAUUUGCUUGUGCUCAACAUAUUAUUCAGGUUCAUUCGAUGAUUUGGCUCGGGAUGCGUAUCACAGUACAGAGGAAUCCUUGAAGCUUACCUCACUUCAGAUGGCAAGUAGACAAUCAGCUUACCCUUGAUUCCGUCAAAUUCGUUACAGAUUGUGUUUUGAGGAAAUAACCCCGGCGGUAAAUUGAACUCACAGAGAAGAUCUAGUAAGCUUUUCUAUAGUUUGCAAAAGAAAUAACCUUAUGUCAACAAAAACAAGGUAAGAGUUUAAAUUAUGUACCAUUUCUCCAUCAGAAGCAAUAACAUGACUACUUGGAGGCCCAUCCCUACACACUACAUUAUGCAUAUUUUUCUCUAGUCUCUGUCAUUACUUGAGUUGGAUGUUGAAAUGGUUCCACUUGAGUUGGAUUCCUUAUGUUGCUACAGUUAGCACACUAUUUUCCAUAAUAGAGAUUCAACUUUGUUUUUAUGUUUAUUGUUAUGCAUUCUUUUUCGCACACAGUUAGCAAACAAAGGAAAGAUUGUAUUAGAAAUUGGAAAAGGAAAGACUUAUUACAAAACAACUCUGAAUCAGGCAAAAUGGUGAUGUAGUAUAAGUCCCACGUCGUUUUGUUUGCAAAUUAUAUAAUGGUUUAUAAAGAUUAAACUUGUAAUGAUUAUUGCUUGAGUUGGUCGGGAUAACAAUUGACCUAUGAUAAAUAGGCUUAAGUUGUAAUAUAAUAGAUAUUAGGGCGACCUAGAAAUAUUCUUUUUAAAGUUAAAAACACCUAAAUAGAGGACCUAUAUUUAUUUAUUGCUUUUUUGUAAUUUAUGCUUGUAUCGUGUAAACUUACAAAGUCAUUACCUAUUUGUUGAUGUACUACAAAAAAUAAUUAUGAGAAAAGAUAUUUACAUGAUUACACAAUAAAGUAUGUUUUCACGUUUUGAAGGGACUCAUCUGUAUGUUGUUAAUUUAGGGGUGAUAUCAGUUGGUCACAACCGGUUUUAGAUUUAAGUGUACUACCGAAUAAAUACGACGGGCCUAAGUACUAGUCCACUUUCGACCAUUUUGAGAGGCGAUUUUGUCGUAUUAUCAUGUAUGUCUACAAGAUCUACUACUGGGUUGUGUAUUCGAUGGUGGUCCUAUGUCCUUUGUCUCUUUUUUGACAAAGAGGGGGAGAAAAAGGAAAAAGAAAAGGGCACACUUCUUUGAUAAUGUUUUCUUUGAUGAUCUUUGUCUCAUGUGAAUUAGUUGUGGUGCAAUCUUGAAUUAGUUGUGGUGCAAUCUUGAAUUAGUUGGGUAAUGGUGUGUAGCUGGUAGUUGGUGGAGUGGUGGUGUAACUACUGACUAAUGGAGUUUGUAGUGGAGUGGUGUAACUAUUGACUUGACUACUGCCUUUAUGAUGUAAGAGGAUCUUCUGCAUAUAUCAUGUUGUGCUUGGUACUGACUUAUCUGUGUGACAUCCCGCCCUCAUAUGUUGUGUGUGCUGAAUUUUCCUAUAUGUGUUAGUAGUAGCUUCUGAUCUCUAACUAUCGACUACUAACCUUAUAUACAUGUAUGACUAACUCAUCUUGAAUGUUUGCAUGUCUAUUUUUAUGGAGCAUUAUAAAAAACACAUGAUAUCGGGUGUGUGUGUGUGUGUGUAACCACCUCAUGAGUUAUGAAUUAUGCUUUGAUUUGUGCUGCUACUGUGUAUGCUCUGAUGAAUAUUCUUUUGUUGUUGAUGUUGUUGGUCUAAGUAUACAUGUGAUAGUUAGUUGUUUCAAGCUUGAAGAGUUGUUUUGUCAAAAAAAUUCAAAAGGGAAGAUUGUUGAUUCUUUUGGGAUUGGCUGCAUCAUGCAAAACAACAUGGAGUUUGCUUUAGUUGGUUAUGGUGCAGAAGGGACACAUGUUGAACAUGAUGUUCUAACAUGUGGACUGCAACCUUGUUCGUAAGAAUCUUUGCAGGAAGCUACGACAACCUUGCUAUGCUCAUGUCAUGAAUAGAUCAAAAUCAGUCUUGAGGUCAUUACAGAUAGGGAGAGCCAGCAGUUGAGGUUACAAGUGAAGGCGUCAAUGCUGCAAGGCAUUCAAUUGGUACAUCUUUGGAGGCUAUGUUCAAACUUAGGAAUGCUCUCAACCCCAAGAGUGUGAUCAAACCAACAUCAGACUUUGGAGAGCUCCUGACCAAGAAAGUUUGGCUCAAGUGAAGGCUAAGAGAUAAGUAUUCAAGCUAACAAAGAGAAUGAGCAUCUCCUUACACACACUAGUUGUUGUACUAGUUUAUCAUAUGAUUCUUUUUUUUUCUUUAAUUAAUCUUUCAUCAUGUGUAUUUAUAGUUGAUUACUCAUGAUUGAAUUAAUAUACCCUGUAACGGUUUUAUAACUAACUUGGUAGUUGGAGACAUUGUAGGUCCCACACCCUUGCUAUGAUGAUGUCACGAAUAUAUCAAAAUCAGUCUUGAGGUCUUUAGAAGUAAUGUUCUUCUAUUUGCCUAUUUUUGAUUUGCUUGUGCUCAACAUAUUAUUCCGGUUCAUUCGUUGAUUUCCUUUUUCUAAUUAAUAUGUACAAUUUUUAAUAUAAAUGUGAAGCCUAUUCUUGAUUUGAACAAUUUUUUACUUGUCUUGGGAGCUUUUUGUUGGUUUUCUUGUAGUGAGCUUAUUAACUUUUCAAUGCUUACACCGUCAUGAUCAGCUGGAGGAUAUCUAAGGGAGUAUAUUCUUUUAUUUACCAAAAUUAUUUUGAAUUUGUAACUAACUUGAUCGUCGGAGUUUUUGCAGGUACAACUCCUUUGCUAUGCCAUUCCAUGCUCAUGAGUAUGAUGAAACAUAAAGGAAAGCAAACGUCUCAAAAACAUGGUUUUAUGGAUAAUCUUAAUUCUUGAUUAUGUAAUUGUGAAUUUGUCAUGAUCGGCUGGAGGAUAUCUAAGGUAGUGUGUUCUUUUAUUUACCAAAACUAUUUUGAAUUCAUAACUAACUUGAUCGUCGGAGUUUUUGCAGGUACCACACCUUUGCUAUGCCAUUCCAUGCUCAUGAGUACGAUCAAACAUAAAGGAAAGCAAACAUCUCAAAAACAUAACUAAUUUGUUAUGAUUUGGAGUGUUGAAGAACAAAAGUUUCCCUCGGUCUACCCUAAUGUAAGCACAGUCCAAUCUUCAACACAGCUAUGAGUGGAUGAGUGUCAUUGACAAGUGGGCCUUCUGAAACAAAUGGUUUCCGGGUGAGGCUGAGUUUGAAGUGUGAAGUCAUGCCUCAAAUAUAAAUUCUGGUGCACCUAGUGAAUCAACUACUUGAUGCCGAAACAAAACAUGUGAGUAUGAUAACUGAGAAGGAAUGAAAUAAGUGAUUUUAUGUAGUGGUAACAUGCUAAAGUAGUUGAGAAAGGAAUGAGAUUUAAAUACAACUGGUGGUGCUAGGCAAGGAUGUGGAAAUGAAUUCAGCAGGAAGCAUGUGAUAAACUAUUGGGGAAUGUGGGAAUAGUUGGAUCAAGUAAAUAUAGCAUUAAAAUUUGGCAUAAAUCAGUACCAACUCGUUUCUUUGUAAGAUAAUCUUUGUUUCCCAACUUUUAUGCUCAUUACUUUGGGAGGCAAGAACCAACUAAUUUUUUGAAAACUGGAUAUUUCAUGCCUUCGGCCAUUGCCAACAAUGCUGCAGAUUUAAAUUGAAUAAGCAACAAAAUUUUGUAGAUGAAAUCAGACUUCAAACAAGUGGCUUUAAUGCCAAUCUCCCUCCAGGAUCAAUCCACCAACAUAUUAGCUACUAAAAUUGGGAUUGUUUGGUUUGUUUGACACUAAUGUAAAAAAUAUAAUACAAGUAUGUUGACAGGAAUUUCAUGUAGUUCAACAAUUCAUUGGCAUCUUAUAUUUCGAGGUUAGCUUGUAGUAGUUGGAAACCAGACUAUGCCUCUUGUCGUGAGGUCAGUGGUGGUAUCGGAGGUCUGAGCGGAGGUCCCAUAGUAGAUCUUGUGAUCUGAGGAGGUUGGAAUAGGUCCGGAUGCAACAGAGUGUCUGCAACAAAUUCAUUUGCAAUACCUUGAGGAAUAGGAGGCAAUUGAGGUCCCACUGCUUGAGUGGCAGCGGCUGGGCGACAAAAUGAGUAGCUUUAGAUUCAGACGUUGCUGGAGGGUUUGGAGGUGAGGAAUAUGGAAAAUCUAAGAAUCAAAGUUCGUCCAUUACUCGAAUGAAUCUAAGUAGUCAAGCUAACAAGAGAAUGAGCAUCUCCUUACACACGCUAGUUGUUGUACUAGUUUAUCAGAUAAUUCUUUUUUUUCUCUAAUUAAUCUUUCAUCAUGUGUGUUUAUAGUUAAUUAUUCAUGAUUGAAUUAAUAUACCCUUUAACGGUUUUAUAAAUAACUUGAUCGUUGGAGACUUUGUAGGUACCACACCCUCGCUGUGAUCAUGUCACGAAUAUAUCAAAAUCGGUCUUGAGGUUUUUAGAGUACAGAGGAAUUCUUGAAGCUUACCUCACUUCAGAUGGCAAGUAGACAACCAGCUUACCCUUGAUUCCGUCAAAUUCGUUACAGAUUGUGUUUUGAGGAAAUAACCCCGGUGGUAAAUUGAACUCGCAGAGAAGAUCUAGUAAGCUUUUCUAUAGUUUGCAAAAGAAAUAACCUUAUGUCAACAAAAACAAGGUAGAAUUUAAAUUAUGUACCAUUUCUCCAUCAGAAGCAAUAACAUGACAACUCGGAGGCCCAUCCCUACGCACUACAUUAUGCAUAUUUUGCUCAAGUGUUUUAUCAUCUGCACUAGUCUCUGUCAUUACUUGAGUUGGAUUCCUUAUGUUGCUACAGUUAGCACACUAUUUUCCAUAAUAGAGAUUCGACUUUGUUUUUAUGUUUAUUGUUAUGCAUUCUUUUUCGUACACAAUUAGCAGACAAAGGAAAGAUUGUAUUAGAUAUUGGAAAAGGAAAGACUUAUUGGAAAACAACUCUAAAUCAGGCAAA